rnacentral:lncRNA from 1 species
UGGGAUAUGAGAAGCCGAGGAAAGCGUGUUCCCAAAGCUAUUUGUGACCACCCCUUCCUCUUCUCCCUAACAAGGAAACCCUGCCUGUGACGAGCUGUACAAGGCCUGGCUCAGCGGCUGGCGGGACAGCAACUGGAGACUUAGGAAGAAAAACAACUUCUAAACGUGGUGUUCGUGCAAGAAAGUAUCAGGGUCCUGGCUCUGUCUUAGAGGAGUAGAAUCAUAUUCAGCAGAUCCUGCAUAUUCCUGGAAGGGGCUUUCUGACCACAUGAUCUUCAGGGUGACACAUGGACAAGAAACAGAUCUUCUUCUUGGGGAAAAAUACCAGCACACAGUCAACUUCUGGAAAAGGCAGUUCUUACUUUGAUGCAUCAUGGAAGAUCACCUAAGCCAAAAUAAAUAUCAAACUGUCCAAAAAGCACCUGGAUUAUUAAAAAUAAAAUGAAGUCCCUGUACCAUAUUUGAAGCUAAAUACCAGCUCAGUGCCUGGCCCACAAAAGGUAAUAAAUGGAUCUGCUGUGAGCCUCACAAAAAUCAACUGCAGUUUUGCAUAUUAACAUGCUCAUUCAUCAAGUAACCAUAAAAAUGUCCUGUGAAUUAAAAAAAAAAGAAAUUGAGAUAGGGAAAACACAGGUGCUCCACCCAGGGGGAAAAAAUGUAGCACUUUAAUGUAGACUAACUGAUUUCAGCUAUUAGGAAACCUAGGGAAUCCCAUCCCUUUACAAAAAUAUUUUCAAAUUCUCUUUGAAAAGCAGAGUGGGAAAAUGUUGAGGAAAUAAGGCCUUCCUGUUUCUGCCACAUGUGGAUAAUUAUCCAGCUGCAUUUCCAAAAUAAGAAUGGCUGGAAAAUUCUUUCGGAGAGCUUCUUGCAGCUGAAUAUCAAAGGAAAUUUGCACGUUUCUGAAACUAUUGUUCUUGGGGUUCAUGACAGAAUUAUGAGGGCUCUCCUGUUUUUGUCUCUAAAUACAAAUAAAUAAACUUCAGUGAUUUGAACCUAUGGGAUCUCCCAGCAGAUUUUUCUUCUUUUAUAUGAUGGCUAUAUAGUAAGCAAACAACAUUUUGAUGAGGACAAUUUCACUUCAUUUAUUUGAGGCCAAAAGCCACUGUUAAAUCUUU